GACGAACGCUGGCGGCGUGCUUAACACAUGCAAGUCGAACGGUGAAGCGCCUUCCUUUUUGGUGGGUGUGGAUGAGUGGCGAACGGGUGAGUAACACGUGAGUAACCUGCCCCCUUCUUCUGGAUAACCGCAUGAAAGUGUGGCUAAUACGGGAUAUUCUGGGUCUGUCGCAUGAUGGGUCUGGGAAAGAUAUUGUUUCGGUGGGGGAUGGGCUCGCGGCCUAUCAGCUUGUUGGUGGGGUGAUGGCCUACCAAGGCGGUGACGGGUAGCCGGCCUGAGAGGGUGGACGGUCACACUGGGACUGCAACACGGCCCAGACUGCUACGGGAGGCAGCAGUGGGGAAUAUUGCACAAUGGGCGCAAGCCUGAUGCAGCGACGCCGCGUGAGGGAUGGAGGCCUUCGGGUUGUGAACCUCUUUCGCCAGUGAAGCAGGCCUGCCUCGUUUGUGGGUGGGUUGACGGUAGCUUGAUAAGAAGCGCCGGCUAACUACGUG
rnacentral:rRNA from 1 species